AGUGACUGGCUUUCCUUUCGAGCAGACUAAGAAGAAGCCCACGUAGCGGUAGCAGCUACGACUUCUUCCUUCUGGGCUUACUUGCCAAAGACAAGGAACCACAACCCCUUCGGGUAGGGCAUAGGUGGCUACGGCGGAAAAACCCUGGAUCUACAAUACUUACUUCACGCUCUCUAGAAGCUCACUGCAGAGGAAGAGCGGAAGGGAAUACUGAACCACGCCUCGAGUCCCAGUCUCCUAGUGGUGGGAUGGUAAAGGGCAAUGUCCGGUUCUGGCCAAGAGAUGUCUUUGCUCCGUCCCCCUUCUUGUUGGUUGGCACAAGCCCUUGUAGUAGUCAGCCUUUCCUCCCCGACGGUCUACACCAGGGCAUAUUCGAGUGCCCCGCCGCCAGCAUCGCUCUUCUCUUCGAACAGAAGCAACUCUGUAGGGAGGAGAGCCUGCCGAUCGAGCGAAGGGAUCCAUACGGCUUUCAGGGGGAGCUGCUUUUACAGCCUACUGGUAUUUAAGUAACGGACGUGUUGAAUGA